rnacentral:rRNA from 1 species
UACGAAGGGUGCUAGCGUUGUUCGGAAUUACUGGGCGUAAAGCGCGCGUAGGCGGCUUUAUAAGUCAGGGGUGAAAUCCCACAGCUUAACUGUGGAACUGCCUUUGAAACUGUAAAGCUUGAGUGUCGGAGGGGAUAGCGGAAUUGCUAAUGUAGAGGUGAAAUUCGUAGAUAUUAGCAGGAACACCGGUGGCGAAGGCGGCUAUCUGGACGACAACUGACGCUGAGGCGCGAAAGCGUGGGGAUCAAACAGG